UCCCAAGCGAUAAUACAGGCUAACGGGCAU
rnacentral:piRNA from 1 species